UGUCUCCUGGGAUGUGCGCCAGUCCAUUCAUGUCCCUGGCCGAUGCUUUUUUAAAAGGAAGUUGAACUUAUAACUACUGUGCAAGCUCGGCUCGUAUCGAGAAGCCUACGGUUAUGAUGAUUCUUCCGCCGUGAACCUUUCGGCUCACGGGCGAACGAUUGGGCAGCGGCAUUCUGGGAGACGC
rnacentral:other from 1 species